rnacentral:rRNA from 1 species
GAAUCUUCCGCAAUUGACGAAAGUCUGACGGAGCCACGCCGCGUGAAUGAUGAAGGUUUUCGGAUCGUAAAGCUCUGUUGCCUGGGAAGAACGCUUGGGAGAGGAACUGCCCGCAAGGUGACUCUAACGGAGAAGAAAGCCCCGACUACCUACGUGCCACCAGCCGCGGGAAGCCGUAGGGGGCAAGCGUUGUCCGGAAUUAUUGGGCGUAAAGUGAGGGGUGGGGGUUCAUUAAGUCUGGUGUGUAAGGCUAGGGCUCAACCCUGGUUCGCACUGGAAACUGUUGAACUUGAGUGCAGAAGAGGAAAGGGGAAUUGCACGUGUAGCGGUGAAAUGCGUAGAGAUGUGGAGGAACACCAGUGGCGAAGGCGACUUUCUGGGCUGUAACUGACGCUGAGGCGCGAAAGCGUGGGGAGCAAACA